rnacentral:rRNA from 1 species
AUUGAACGCUGGCGGCAUGCCUUACACAUGCAAGUCGAACGGUAACGGGCCUUCGGGUGCCGACGAGUGGCGAACGGGUGAGUAAUACAUCGGAACGUGCCCGAUCGUGGGGGAUAACGAGGCGAAAGCUUUGCUAAUACCGCAUACGAUCUACGGAUGAAAGCAGGGGACCGCAAGGCCUUGCGCGGACGGAGCGGCCGAUGGCAGAUUAGGUAGUUGGUGGGAUAAAAGCUUACCAAGCCGACGAUCUGUAGCUGGUCUGAGAGGAUGAUCAGCCACACUGGGACUGCGACACGGCCCAGACUCCUACGGGAGGCAGCAGUGGGGAAUUUUGGACAAUGGGCGCAAGCCUGAUCCAGCCAUGCCGCGUGCAGGAUGAAGGCCUUCGGGUUGUAAACUGCUUUUGUACGGAACGAAAAGCCUUCUUUUAAUACAGGAGGGUCAUGACGGUACCGUAAGAAUAAGCACCGGCUAACUACGUG